CGUUCUACAGGAUUGUAUUUCUUUUGUUCCUGCCACUUUUGCUGCAAUGGGCACUUUUUUAUCCGUUUUAGCUUCCUCUGCUCUUCCGGAGAGAGCGAUAGCACUCAUUUUUCUCCUCUUUUCAUGAACUCGAAGGCUUUCUGCUGGGUUUUUUCUGACUUGGCAGAUGUGCUUUAGCAAAAACAGCUCAUCACUGAUUGGCAAAAAAAGAUCUGGUGUUCUGAAUUUGCUUUUUUUCUUUUGUCUCCAUUUUUUUUGUCAUUUUGAAUGUAUAAAACACUGACAUACCUAAUCUAUCUCGUCUGUAACAAAAGGAAGAGGCAGAAGACGACUGGAGCGAUGCACACUGCCAUUCAGAGGAGGAAGAAAAUCCAGCAGUAAUGAGAGAGUAUAAAUACUAGUCUCCACAUGUCCAUGGCUCUGGUUCUGUUUCCUGCAGCAGAUGGUGAAGGGAGUUCCACAGAAGGACGUGAUGUGCUGAAUGGACACGAUGACAAACACGCUAGAAGAAUUUAAAAGAUUCUGGAAAAACAAAAAAUAAAUAUGUGUUAAACCUGCA